ACAGUGUCUUUCUCUAUGCAAAGUGAACUUCCCCAUGUCUGCUAUAAAGACGUGAUACCCUGCUGUCAGCAGAAGAAGAGAAGCUCCCAUCAGAUCACCUUCAGCACCAACCAUGUUCUCUGUAGCUGUGCUGCUGCUGCUGGCUGCUGGAUCCUGUGUGAAGUGUGAACAGCUGACACAGCCAGCCUCUGUGACUGUGCAGCCAGGUCAAUAUCUGACCAUCACCUGUCAGGUCUUUUAUUCUCUGAGCAGCUAUCGCACACAUUGGAUCAGACAGCCUGCAGGGAAAGGACUGGAGUGGACUGGAGGCGCUCGUGCUGGACACCCCACAUACUACAAAGAUUCUCUAAAGAACAAGUUCAGUAUUGACUUAUACUCUUCCAGCAUCACAGUGACUCUAAACGGACAGAAUGUGCAGCCUGAAGACACUGCUGUGUAUUACUGUGCCAGAGAGCCACAGUAACACAAACCAUCAGUAGACCUGAACAAAAACCUUCAGAGCCUGAACACUUGUAACAUGAAGCCACCAGAGGAGGAGCCC